UGCCAGCCGCCGCGGUAAUACGGAGGGUGCAAGCGUUGUUCGGAAUUAUUGGGCGUAAAGCGCGUGUAGGCGGUUCGUUAAGUCUGAUGUGAAAGCCCGGGGCUCAACCCCGGAAGUGCAUUGGAAACUGGCGAACUUGAGUACGGGAGAGGAAAGUGGAAUUCCGAGUGUAGGGGUGAAAUCCGUAGAUAUUCGGAGGAACACCAGUGGCGAAGGCGGCUUUCUGGGCCUUACCUAACGCUGAGACGCGAAAGCGUGGGGAGCGAACCGGAUUAGAUA
rnacentral:rRNA from 1 species